UACGUAGGGGGCAAGCGUUGUCCGGAAUCAUUGGGCGUAAAGAGCGUGUAGGCGGCCCGGUAAGUCCGCUGUGAAAGUCGGGGGCUCAACCCUCGAAUGCCGGUGGAUACUGUCGGGCUGGAGUGCGGGAGAGGAAAGUGGAAUUCCUGGUGUAGCGGUGAAAUGCGUAGAUAUCUGGAGGAACACCGGUGGCGAAGGCGGCAUCCUGGACCGGCAUUGACGCUGAGGAGCGAAAGCCAGGGGAGCAAACGGG
rnacentral:rRNA from 1 species